GUCUGAUGUGAAAGCCCCCGGCUCAACCGGGGAGGGUCAUUGGAAACUGGGAAACUUGAGUGCAGAAGAGGAGAGUGGAAUUCCACGUGUAGCGGUGAAAUGCGUAGAGAUGUGGAGGAACACCAGUGGCGAAGGCGACUCUCUGGUCUGUAACUGACGCUGAGGAGCGAAAGCGUGGGGAGCGAACAGGAUUAGAUACCCUGGUAGUCCACGCCGUAAACGAUGAGUGCUAAGUGUUAGGGGGUUUCCGCCCCUUAGUGCUGCAGCUAACGCAUUAAGCACUCCGCCUGGGGAGUACGGUCGCAAGACUGAAACUCAAAGGAAUUGACGGGGGCCCGCACAAGCGGUGGAGCAUGUGGUUUAAUUCGAAGCAACGCGAAGAACCUUACCAGGUCUUGACAUCCUCUGACGGCCCUAGAGAUAGGGCUUUCCCUUCGGGGACAGAGUGACAGGUGGUGCAUGGUUGUCGUCAGCUCGUGUCGUGAGAUGUUGGGUUAAGUCCCGCAACGAGCGCAACCCUUGAUCUUAGUUGCCAGCAUUCAGUUGGGCACUCUAAGGUGACUGCCGGUGACAAACCGGAGGAAGGUGGGGAUGACGUCAAAUCAUCAUGCCCCUUAUGACCUGGGCUACACACGUGCUACAAUGGACAGAACAAAGGGCUGCGAGACCGCAAGGUUUAGCCAAUCCCAUAAAUCUGUUCUCAGUUCGGAUCGCAGUCUGCAACUCGACUGCGUGAAGCUGGAAUCGCUAGUAAUCGCGGAUC
rnacentral:rRNA from 1 species